rnacentral:tmRNA from 1 species
GGUCUUUUAAAAUGCCCCACCUUUCCCUAUAUUAGAGCCGUCGGGCAACCGACUAUGGCAAUAAACGGCCCUGCGUAAUAGACGUUUCGGACCCGGGGGCGGUACCCGGCGCCUCCACCAUUACCCUGAUCUUGCAUCAUGGGGGCGAACUAGGAUCGACGAGCGUUGAAAGGCUUGGCUUUUGCCCGGGAUGAUACCACCGUGACGGGUCAAAACCUAGAAAUGCCAACGACAAUGAUGUCAUGGCGCUUGCUGCGUAAGCAGUAGGCGGGGUUCGGAGGGCACCUAGCAACAGAAGCCCUCCACU